ACGAACGCUGGCGGCGUGCUUAACACAUGCACGUCGCACGGAAAGGCCCUGGUUUUGUGGGGUGCUCGAGUGGCGAACGGGUGAGUAACACGUGAGUAACCUGCCCUUGACUUUGGGAUAACUUCAGGAAACUGGGGCUAAUACCGGAUAGGAGCUCCUGCUGCAUGGUGGGGGUUGGAAAGUUUCGGCGGUUGGGGAUGGACUCGCGGCUUAUCAGCUUGUUGGUGGGGUAGUGGCUUACCAAGGCUUUGACGGGUAGCCGGCCUGAGAGGGUGACCGGCCACAUUGGGACUGAGAUACGGCCCAGACUCCUACGGGAGGCAGCAGUGGGGAAUAUUGCACAAUGGGCGGAAGCCUGAUGCAGCAACGCCGCGUGCGGGAUGACGGCCUUCGGGUUGUAAACCGCUUUCGCCUGUGACGAAGCGUGAGUGACGGUAAUGGGUAAAGAAGCACCGGCUAACUACGUG
rnacentral:rRNA from 1 species